rnacentral:lncRNA from 1 species
UAGCCCGUUUUGGCCUGCAAGAAUUUUGUCUAAUUACUGGAUUACCAUGCCAUGAAGUUACUGUUGAUCUCAAUUUUAGUAAUACUCGACUUAGGGAUGAAUACUUCAAUGGUUCAAAGAGAAUUACUAUGAUAAGAAUUUCUGAAGUAUUUCAUAUGUGUCAAGAUCGAGAAGAUAAAUUUAAGUUGGGAUUAGUUAUGUUCGUUGAAUGUGUUUUAAAACCAAUUGGAAGAUACAUCGAUUUUAGAACCCUUGAAAUGGUUGAACAACUUGAUGAGUUUCUUAUGUAUCCAUGGGGACGUAAGGCAUACUUUGUUUUAUUAAAUUCAUUACAAGAAUCACAGCUCGAAAGAGUACGAAGAAUACAACAAAAUGACCAAACAGACUGUAAAUAUUCGUUGCAUGGUUAUUCGCUCCCAUUCCAGGUAU